AUUGAACGCUGGCGGCAGGCCUAACACAUGCAAGACGAGCGGAUGAAGGGAGCUUGCUCCUGGAUUCAGCGGCGGACGGGUGAGUAAUGCCUAGGAAUCUGCCUGGUAGUGGGGGAUAACGUCCGGAAACGGGCGCUAAUACCGCAUACGUCCUGAGGGAGAAAGUGGGGGAUCUUCGGACCUCACGCUAUCAGAUGAGCCUAGGUCGGAUUAGCUAGUUGGUGGGGUAAAGGCCUACCAAGGCGACGAUCCGUAACUGGUCUGAGAGGAUGAUAAGUCACACUGGAACUGAGACACGGUCCAGACUCCUACGGGAGGCAGCAGUGGGGAAUAUUGGACAAUGGGCGAAAGCCUGAUCCAGCCAUGCCGCGUGUGUGAAGAAGGUCUUCGGAUUGUAAAGCACUUUAAGUUGGGAGGAAGGGCAGUAAGUUAAUACCUUGCUGUUUUGACGUUACCAACAGAAUAAGCACCGGCUAACUUCGUG
rnacentral:rRNA from 1 species